rnacentral:lncRNA from 10 species
UCCUUGGUUAAGUACAUUCCUAAGUAUGUUAUUUUAUUUUUUUGCAGUGAUUGUGAAAAGGUUUGAAUUCUUGAUUUGAUUCUCAGCUUGGUCAUUUUUGAUGUACAACAGUGCUACUGAUUUGUGUACAUUGAUUUUGCAUCCAGAAACUUUGCUGAAUUAAUUUACCAGCUCUAGGAGCUUUUUGUGUGAGUCUUUAGGGUUUUCUAUGUAUACAACCAUGUCAUCAGCAAUGGUGGUCAGAACUGAAUUUGAAUUCUAGGUGCAUUUUGGCAUAAGCAAGAAAGAAUGGACCCAAUUUUCUUACAUAUAAAGUGAGCUGGGAACUUGAGAUUGACAGUUUGGCUUCCCUGUUCUGGGUGGCAAAGCCUGUGGAGUACUCACCUACCUGCUGCAUGAAGGCAGCAUGGAGGGACUGUGGUGGAUUAUCUGCAACUCUCUGAUCAGAAGAGUCAAUCCUGGUGAGUUUAACUUGAGCCUCAGAAUCCUACUCAACACAAAGUUCCAGAGAGAAGCGAUUAUCAAUGCCAAUACCUUAGAGAUGGUACUGGCUGUGGAAUCUGUCAUCCCUUGACUAGGUGGUCUCUAAGUUCCUUUCCAAUUUUAAUGUUUUCUGUUCUGAUUUAUCUUUUGGCAUUGUGCAGGUGUCAGGAGAAAAAAAUAAUGCCAAUGUGUCUCUUUAAUUCCUUUAUCAUUAAGUCAUAACCUUUCCCAACUCCCAAUCCAGUUUUCUUACGUCAAUACUUUGGUUUUUGCUUUGUGAAGAUGCCAGAAUCAGUCAAAACUAAGCUCACUGUCCUUGCUAAUAUUCUGCCCCAGAGAAGAACUGAAGCUCAGCUCUUCACCCUACAGAAAGCCUGAAUUUUGUAAAUGUUCUGCUUAGAAUGAGGAAGAAAGAUGAAGAAUGAGGAGGAAGAAGGAAGGAACGAGAGAGAGGUAAAGCCAACAAGCAGAACAGACCUACAUUUGCAGCAUCUCCAAGUUUCUGCAACAGCAUUAUGUUGUUGUUAUGUUUUGUUUUAAUAAAAGCACAUACCAUUUUUUUUGUUACUCUUAUAUUCUUUUCAUAACAGCUCAGCUAAAGACAGAUAAUGCUGGAGUCAGCUUUUUCUAAGAAUUAGUCUCUUCAAACUGGCCAUAGAGAUUUGGUAGAAGUCAUGGGUUUUAAUUGAAUUUCUCCUAAUGGUCUCCCAGGGAUGGAAAUAUGACUGAUACAGGCUUACUUUCCCUCUCCCCUCGGUGAAGCUGUAUUGCCUCCCACAGAACAGACCGUUCUUUAUGUUCUAACCGGGCUUUUCAUAACUCCACUGGAGAGCUGUACAAACCCUAGACUUGGCAACGGCUUUUUUGUUUUCUGAAGCCAGACCAAUUCUGGACCCAGUUCCUGCUUUCUAGGAAGAAAUAGCACAUGCAACCAGCCUCUUCACUGAUGAAAAAAUACCUCACUCCUUUUUAGACAGCUUCUCGUAUUGAUAAUUUUAUAGAAAUGUACUGUAUAAGUGAAAGUCAGCAUUUCCAUUACACAACAGCCUGCUAGAGCUAUGAGGGAAGAGUUGCCACCCACACUGGGCACCACAGGUUCCCUGCACAAGUCACUUUCCCGUUGUGGAUCUAGGUUUCCAUCUUGGUUUUUUUUGAUCAAUUACUACCAGGAUGAUUGCUAAUAGACAUGUCGUUAGAAACCAAAGGGAGAUAUUUCAUAGCAACUGUUUCUUGUCUUUGCUUUUCUCCUUUUUUGAACUUGACAUAGGCCACCUGAGAGAGCUCCUUAGGCCAGCAUGCUUGGGGGGUCUGUUGUGUACAAAGUGCUUUCUCUGGAGUCUCCCUCUAAGGGUCAGGAGUCAGCAGUGACUACUGGAGGAUGCUAGACACUGGAGGGUAGAUCAUGUGUACUGCAUCUCGCCACUGCAGGCACAACACGGGCUUAACAGAUACAGUUGGUUCAAAUUCUGUGUCUGCUCUUUACAGAAUUUGUGGUUCUAGACAAGUCUCCUACUUUUCUAAAUUCUGUUUCAUAUCUCUACAAUGGAAAAAACACUACUAAUCUCAAAAAUUUUGUUGAGAAGAUUAAACCAGAUAGCAUGGUUUCUGCAAGGCAGAAAUCAAAGAAAGAAACCGUGGUGUCUGCUGC